GUGCUUAGAUUGUGAUUGU
rnacentral:siRNA from 1 species